rnacentral:misc_RNA from 1 species
ACAAGAGAGAGGGAAAAGAAUUAUCGAAGGGAGGGGUAACCCCUGGGACAGGGGGCACCCUCGCGCGAGAACCCAGCUGGCCUGUGCAUGAUUCCGUCACUGCACGACGGUGGUGACGAAGGGGCUGAUGUCAGUGCGGCCACUCGGCGCCCGCUCCGUGGCUCGGAUGCGCGAACGCGACACCCGCAUCGUCGUCGUACCGCGAGUGAAGCUCCCGGCGGAGGCGGAGGCGGCAGUAGCAGCGGCCGAUGACGGUGAUGGUCAGCCGCGAAACAGUGGUGACUGCUGACUGGUGCACGAUCAAACGAAAUCCCUUGUACACGGCCGCGUACACGGUGCCGUGCCGGUCGGUCGGUCGGUUUUGGGGGCGCAGCUUCGGGGAAUAAUGCGCGUUAGGCACGUUACGCGACGACGAGGACGACGGUACGACGCGAGGGACCCGAGCGGCCAGCCGCGGGUGCAGCUGCAGCAACGCAAUUAUGUACGCGUACGGUUUCGAGAUCACGUAGUGGCUGCCGUGUAAUUAUGUUGUCAUCGACGCGCGGCGCGCCCUGUGUAGCUUCACGGUGAAAAUCUGGCGUGAGCGGUGCCGCGGUGGAACGGGGAACAUGGCGUCGGUCUCGGCUGAGACUCCAGCCAGCCAUGGGCACAGCUUCAGCAAGAAGACGUUUCACAAGCCGACGUACUGCCAUAGCUGCACCGACAUGCUGUGGGGCCUCAUACAGCAGGGGUACAUCUGCGAAGUUUGCAACUUCGUGGUGCACGACCGCUGUCUCAAGGCCGUCGUCUCUCCCUGCUCCAGCAUCGCGGCAAGCCUCAUUAAGAAUCCAGUUGCACACUGCUGGUCCGAACAGGUACAUCAUAGAAGAAAAUUCUGCAACGUCUGUCGUAAACGGCUCGAUGAUAAUCUAUCCAUACAUUGUGAAAUAUGCGAAUACUUCGCGCACACGGAGUGCCAGGAUUUUGCCGUGGCAGAUUGCAAGGAGAACGCCACGUAUUUACCUGGGAAGGACUUGGCGCAGGUAAACCACACUCAUCACUGGCGAGAAGGCAAUCUUCCCAGCAGUUCGAAAUGCGCUGUCUGCAAGAAAAAUUGUUUUUCUGCCGAGUGCCUUUCUGGGUUUCGUUGCGAGUGGUGCGGCAUGACGUUGCACUCUUACUGUUAUAAAAAUAUCCCGCAAGAAUGCACGUUUGGGAACUUGGAACCAAUCUACUUACCACCACAUGCAGUCAGCAUUCCACGCACGGAAGUUCCCAUGGAGGCCAUCAUCGGUGUACAAGUACGUCGAAAAGAAGCCCUGGCGCGUGAGUAUUCCUGCCAUAACAUCGGAGAGCAAUUCGAUUUCGCUGAGAGUGAACAAAUUGGGGCUGCAGGCCGUCUAGCCGAAGCUUUGAGGCGCCUUUCACUAGUUUUGCCACGUAGCUGCCAUGGAAAAUGUCAUGCUUCCCCUCCUUAUGUUCGAGGCCGCUGGAUGCUAUGAUGAGUUACCGUGACGCUUGUCACACCACUAUGCGGUGAAAAUGAAGUUGCAAGAAUGCUACUGUGAAAAUAAAUCUUCCUAUCAUGUGUGUUCUGCAAACCCAUCGUGCCCGAUGCACGAAGCAUAUCGGAAGAGUUCAGCAGCGGGGAUGCAAGGUAUCGUGACAAUGGCGAGUCAGGACCGGGUAGCGCGCAUGGUCGUGAUCCGCGUUCUCCAAAGGAGAAAGAAGACAAAGAAA